rnacentral:rRNA from 1 species
UGGGGAAUAUUGCACAAUGGGCGCAAGCCUGAUGCAGCCAUGCCGCGUGUGUGAAGAAGGCCUUCGGGUUGUAAAGCACUUUCAGCGAGGAGGAAGGGUGGUGUGUUAAUAGCACAUUGCAUUGACGUUACUCGCAGAAGAAGCACCGGCUAACUCCGUGCCAGCAGCCGCGGUAAUACGGAGGGUGCAAGCGUUAAUCGGAAUUACUGGGCGUAAAGCGCACGCAGGCGGUUUGUUAAGUCAGAUGUGAAAUCCCCGCGCUUAACGUGGGAACUGCAUUUGAAACUGGCAAGCUAGAGUCUUGUAGAGGGGGGUAGAAUUCCAGGUGUAGCGGUGAAAUGCGUAGAGAUCUGGAGGAAUACCGGUGGCGAAGGCGGCCCCCUGGACAAAGACUGACGUUCAGGUGCGAAAGCGUGGGGAGCAAACA